ACGUAGGACGCAAGCGUUAUCCGGAAUUACUGGGCGUAAAGGGCGUGUAGGCGGCCCGGUAAGUCAACCGUGAAAGCUCCCGGCUAAACUGGGAGAGGUCGGAUGAGACUGCCGAGCUAGAGGGUCGUAGAGGGGUGUGGAAUUCCGGGUGUAGUGGUGAAAUGCGUAGAGAUCCGGAGGAACACCAGAGGCGAAGGCGACACCCUGGGCCGUACCUGACGCUAAGACGCGACAGCACGGGGAGCGAACGG
rnacentral:rRNA from 1 species